CAGGCUCACGGUUCGUGCAAUUUUCUACCAAACGGGAACUAGUUCAUGCAUUUACUAUUGUAUUACACACACGCUUUGUGCGUUUACAACCCACGAACAGAACUUUGGUUUGUUACAAUGAUUGUUAUUAAGCUAUUAUGUUCGCAUAUUAUAUAUUGUCGAACGGGCACUGUUUGUUUCCCUGUCAUACAACUAUAAUGCUGGGGCAUAGCUCACGAACAAUGUUUCACAUAAAC